rnacentral:misc_RNA from 1 species
GGAGUCCCUGGUUUGCCCGGACCUCAGGGUGACACCGGCGUCCAAGGUGAAACAGGUGCCCCAGGUGAGCCUGGACCCAUGGGACCAAUGGGACCUCAGGGACUGAAGGGAUACGAGGGAGCCGUUGGAGCGCCAGGUGCCCCCGGAGAGCCAGGUCUUACCGGAGAACCAGGACAGCCUGGACCAAUGGGCCCUGUAGGACCAAUGGGACCUCAAGGAGAGAAAGGUGAUACCGGGUACCCGGGAAUGCCAGGCGAGCCCGGACCUCAGGGACCAUCUGGCGAGCCCGGACCCGAGGGGCCUGCAGGACCCAUUGGACCACGUGGUCUUCAGGGAUACCCCGGUGCUCAGGGUGCCCCCGGAAACCCAGGAGAGAAGGGAGACCGUGGUGUCCAGGGAGCCCCAGGCCGCCAAGGUCAGCCCGGACAGGCCCAGUUCGCCCCCGCGGCCGCGAAGGACCAGUCUUAUUACGCAAGAGCUGCCCCCCAACGGGCAAACUACAAGGGAACGUAAAUAAUAUCUAGGUUAAAAUUCCAAAAAAGCUCUUUAUAAAUUCCAUCCAUGCUUGUUAUUUUUGGCGUAUACUGUAUUAGUGUUAUUAGAUAUGCUUGGGCUCUCCCGGUCUGGGGAGUACGUGAGAUGUGUUUGUGAUGAGGAAAAAAUGUGAAAAUGUCCAAUAAAAAACAUUAAAAAGU